CACAAAGUUCAUCGAGACGGUUCCGGCUAGCCGGCGAUGGAAGAUGUUGAGCUUGAGUUCUUGCUGCACGCAGUCGACCGUUGCAGGUUUCCCCUCCGGGACGAGUUAGCGGACAGCUUGGAGCAUCCAGAUCCGGUUCCUUUGGUGGUACUCCCGUGGCGUGAUGACACAAGUGCUGAGCCUGCUGACUCGAAUGCUGGUUCUGGAUGCGGACAGCAUGUUGGCGGCGCAGGCACGGGCUGGCCACUGGGCGACGGUAGACGGCGGCGGGAGGCUUCUCCGACACGUUCCGCGCAGUCCACUGACCAUGUAAAUCCGGAGGCGCCGGGCUGGACUAAAAGGUUCGCUUUGGGAAUGCACCGCCAGACAGAGCGCCGUGUCCAUCUCUAGGAUGAGUGCCUUAUAUCAGUCAAUUCUGCACCAGAGAUGACAGAGCAGGGAGCGCCAACAGCAUCCGAACAAGACGAGCUCCGCAAGAAGGACGACAGCCUCGCUGAUGUGUUCGUUGAGCACAUGCCUCCUUGUGGAUGGGAGGCCUCCUCUCUGCGAGCCCGCGGCUACACUGGUGUGCAAAAAAUGUCCCGCCGUUCCAUGGACAUGCCGAAGCACGCCAUGGCCGUCGGCUUCCUCGUCAUUGCUGUUCCACUCAAAGCAGAGCACACCGGUGUUGCCCCUGCUACCUAUUAACAAGGUCAGCAUGCAUGCAACCUACUCAAACUUUUUUUGUUUUUGAACAAUCAACUUACUUGAUCUAAUUCCACAUCAUGACUUGGUUGCAUGUUUAUUUGUGAAAAUUGAUGGAAGGAAGCUAGGAAGGAGCAGACUCAGAAGAGGCCAGAUGUACUUGCAGGUUGCAUGUUGCAUAUUCUGUUACUAGGUUAGAGGUGAAUUCCUUCACUGCUGAUGUGUUUACAGACAUCAUAACAUGGUUGUUCCCGUGGUGUCCCGAGAAUUCAGAGUUUUGAGCUUGCAUGUUGCGACAGAUGUUUGUUACCAGUCUCAUGCAUUUCAAUCAAUAAAUAUUGUUGACAACAAUGAUAUGUUACCUCUGAAAGUUGUACUGCUUAAGCUAUGCAGUAGUCUUUCUUUUUGGGACCUCAAGAUUAAGCAAAGAAAUGGUAACCAAUGGGCAAGGAAAAUAUAAUAUAUGUAGUUUUUUUAACUGUUACAGUUUUAGUCUAUAGACUAUCUGACUGCUCUGUUAAAAAGCAUAAGAAAUGAGCAUCUGUUAUUUCCAAGCCAUGGUUAUUCAUGUUUGCAAGCAUUUACCUGACCCAAAGUGUUCAAAUUACCAUGGAUAUUCUUGCGGCAUUGAGCACUAGCUACUCGGCAAGUUCCAAACUUCAGUUAUAGCAUGUUCCCAGAUCAUUUGGCUACUCAAUUUCAUGGUUUUGUGGUAGUAACAAAGUGAUUAUGACCACAACCAUUCUGGUUUCAUCGAGGGGUGGGCUUGCUGAUGUCCAGUCCUCCGGGGCUUCCUGCAAGAGCUUCAGUGCUGGUGGCGGAGAUGUGGCGUCCGCAAACCCCGGGUGCGGGACUCCUGCCGUCUUCUCGCGCACAUCCGCCGAGUCCAGCCGCCGCAGUGGCUCUUCGGGUUCCUGCACGACAUUCAGUUCUGGGGGCGUGGUCCUGCCGUCGGCGCGAGACUGCGACGAUACGCCGGCCGUCGUCUCGAGCUCGGUCGUGCAGUCCUUAACCCAAAACGGGCCGGGUUCGGGGAACACCACCAUCCGCGUUGGCUGGAAGCGCAGCUAGCUACUGAUUUUCUGCCGUUUACGCCAAUUGUGCAUUUUCCUGUUCUCAGUCGUGCGAGCAAGUACUGAAAUAUUCAUUAGACUUGUGAAUUUGGGUAGGGCUCUGGAUAAAGACUGGAGGAAACAACAGAAAUCUGAAUCAACCCUUCCCAACAAGUUCGUAGAUGUUUUGCUUAAGCCCUAACCAGUGGUUGGUCAGCAAAAAAUACCCGUGCCACUGCUGUAGUAUGUCCCUGGUUAAUUUUCAGUGACAAAAAGAGCUUGAAUUGCUAGUAAUAAGAAGCACCGUAAUUGCGUGAUUAAGUUCUUUCUGGCCAAUGUUAUUCUGUUCGGUGAUUAUCUGUUGGAUGGUGACUUUUCUUAGUGUUCAAACAUUGCAAAGGGAAAGCUAUACUUCGGUGGAAUCCAUUUGCAGAAGUUUAGUGAAUUUCGUGCAGCAGUCUGAAUGUAGAGUGGGGGAGAGAAUAUAGACUGAAUCAGGCUGGAUGGUACUGCAAUUUUAAUUCAUGCUAUUAGUCUUAGCCUUGGCGUGUGAUUUUCAUUUCCCAAUAAGGGAUGUCACAACUUUAUUGAACUGUAAAAUUGACAUAGUGCUGUUGUUCCUAUA